UACGAAGGGUGCAAACGUUAUUCGGAUUAAUUGGGCGUAAAGGGUACGUAGGCGGCAUGCUAAGUCAACUGUUAAAUCUCCCGGCCUAACUGGGAAUCGGCAGUAGAUACUGGCAAGCUAGAGGAUGGAAGAGAGAAGUGGAAUUCUUGGAGUAGAGGUAAAAUUCGUAGAUCUCAAGAGGAACACCGAUGGCGAAGGCAGCUUCUUGGUCCAUAUCUGACGCUCAGGUACGAAAGCGUGGGGAGCAAACAGG
rnacentral:rRNA from 1 species